GGUCUCAGCGUGUCGCAAUUUGCGCAAUAAACCGCACCGGUGACGAUGUCAUCGGGCGCCGGCGGUGUAUCGGCGAAACGUAGUCGCCGCGCUGCGCCGCGCCGCGCCGAGCCGAUCGCCGUGCACAUUGCGUGCACGUGUCGGAAAGGGUGAACGCGUGGUCGCGCGCGUGACUUCGCGCGGCCGAGGCGUGCCCUUCUCCCGAUCACGUGGAAUGUAACGCGGUCUGAACAUUCUCGCCUCUCUCGCUUUUGCCCGCUCUCUGCACGGAGCGCUUCUCGCGCGCGGUGCACUGUCACGAUUCCCGUGACUGUCUCCUUUCCGUCGCCAACUGCAGCGGUGCACCGUGCGCGAGGUAAAUCUGAACUAUGCUCGGUACAGGCGCGAUUGGUCCAAAACAGUUGAAAUUGCACGCCUGAUAGAAAAUAUUUACAGGAUCUGAGAGGAGGUAGAGACCUGGGAGAGGCAUCGGAGUAAUCUUUGGAUUAUCGCGUGCUCUCGGCGUGGCCAGUCCGUAAAAGGAAUCGAGUGACAGAGCCGUGACCACCAGUUAAAACUGUCGCCAGACUUGCACUUCCGCCCUAAAUACGCGUCUGGAGUACGAGAUCCGGUUCUUACGUACGUGACAGCCACGUACGAGGUCGCUCGUGGUAGAAUGCGAUUUAGUUUUCGAAAGUAGGUAUGGUUGCCGCGAGUAGGUGAUAUCUACUGGCGCGUGUUCACUUAUCUGACAAACGACGGCAGCUGCCACUCAAUGUCAUGCUAAAAAAAAUAUUUCUCUUGAUACCAGCAAUAAACGGCGAAUCGAAAUUAUACGCCGUUAAAAGGGUACAUGCACUUGAAGCGAUGAAAGUAAGAGCCACUUUUUUUUAGAAAUGUAUAAGGUUUUUUAAGUGAGACUUCUUAUUUAAAAAAUAAUAAUAAUUUAAUCUACUUU